GACGAACGCUGGCGGCGUGCCUAAUACAUGCAAGUAGAACGCACAGUUUAUACCGUAGCUUGCUACACCAUAGACUGUGAGUUGCGAACGGGUGAGUAACGCGUAGGUAACCUGCCUGGUAGCGGGGGAUAACUAUUGGAAACGAUAGCUAAUACCGCAUAAUAUUAAUUAUUGCAUGAUAAUUGAUUGAAAGAUGCAACUGCAUCACUACCAGAUGGACCUGCGUUGUAUUAGCUAGUAGGUGAGGUAACGGCUCACCUAGGCGACGAUACAUAGCCGACCUGAGAGGGUGAUCGGCCACACUGGGACUGAGACACGGCCCAGACUCCUACGGGAGGCAGCAGUAGGGAAUCUUCGGCAAGGGACGAAAGUCUGACCGAGCAACGCCGCGUGAGUGAAGAAGGUUGUCGGAUCGUAAAGCUCUGUUGUAAGAGAAGAACGGGUGUGAGAGUGGAAAGUUCACACUGUGACGGUAACUUACCAGAAAGGGACGGCUAACUACGUG
rnacentral:rRNA from 1 species